GAUUGAACGCUGGCGGAAUGCUUUCCACAUGCAAGUCGAGCGGCAGCCCGGGGGCAACCCUGGUGGCGAGCGGCGAACGGGUGAGUAAUACAUCGGAACAUGCCCAGUCGUGGGGGAUAACACUUCGAAAGAAGUGCUAAUACCGCAUACGUCCUGAGGGGGAAAGCGGGGGAUCGCAAGACCUCGCGCGAUUGGAGUGGCCGAUGUCAGAUUAGCUAGUUGGUGGGGUAAAGGCCUACCAAGGCAACGAUCUGUAGCUGGUCUGAGAGGAUGAUCAGCCACACUGGGACUGAGACACGGCCCAGACUCCUACGGGAGGCAGCAGUGGGGAAUUUUGGACAAUGGGGGCAACCCUGAUCCAGCCAUUCCGCGUGAGUGAAGAAGGCCUUCGGGUUGUAAAGCUCUUUCGGCAGGAACGAAACGGUGAGCUCUAACAUAGCUUGCUAAUGACGGUACCUGAAGAAGAAGCACCGGCUAACUACGUG
rnacentral:rRNA from 1 species